GAUGAACGCUGGCGGCGUGCUUAACACAUGCAAGUCGAACGAAGCAUUUAGAACAGAUUACUUCGGUUUGAAGUUCUUUAUGACUGAGUGGCGGACGGGUGAGUAACGCGUGGGUAACCUGCCUUGUACUGGGGGAUAGCAGCUGGAAACGGCUGGUAAUACCGCAAGCGCACAAUGUUGCAUGACAUGGUGUGAAAAACUCCGGUGGUAUAAGAUGGACCCGCGUCUGAUUAGCUAGUUGGUGAGAUAACAGCCCACCAAGGCGACGAUCAGUAGCCGACCUGAGAGGGUGACCGGCCACAUUGGGACUGAGACACGGCCCAGACUCCUACGGGAGGCAGCAGUGGGGAAUAUUGCACAAUGGAGGAAACUCUGAUGCAGCGACGCCGCGUGAGUGAAGAAGUAAUUCGUUAUGUAAAGCUCUAUCAGCAGGGAAGAUAGUGACGGUACCUGACUAAGAAGCUCCGGCUAAAUACGUG
rnacentral:rRNA from 1 species